rnacentral:lncRNA from 1 species
UGUAUACAGCCUUGCAUCACCAUCAAGGUGAUACGCAUAUCCAUCAUCUCCCAAGCCUCCUUGUAACCCUUUUUUAUAAUAAGGACACUUCCUGUGAGGGUGACCCUCUUAGCAAAUUUUCAAGCACGCAGUACGGCGUGGUUAGCAGUAGGUGUGCUGAAGCGCUGAUCCGUGAAAUUUACCCGCUGGGAAAAACGUCUUCACAGUAUUGUUACCAGUGUCUGAAACUACAGAGUCAGCUUUCAGUGGGCGAUGGAUUAGCCCUGGAUUGGCUCAAGAUCAGUUCCUGUGACCCAAGUCUGUCCAGUCAGAAUCUGUCCUAGGAGUUUUUCUGAAGCCCCUAGGGAAAGAGACUCACAAUGUAGUUCAGGCUGGCUUUGAACUCGCCAUGUAGUGCAGGCCGGCCUGGAACUCAGCAGUCCUCCUGCCGCAGCCUCCCAAGUGCUCCAUCACAGCCAGCUGCAAACAUAUUUUAACUUCUGUUAAAAUGAGAAGGUGAAAUGAGUCUUUGGUACGUAAUUCUGACCUAUCCGUGCUCACACCAGUCAUGAGACGUAAUGCUGAAUCUGGUUCCGUGGCGGAAAGAACUGUGAGAUCCAGGUGCCUGGGACACAUGAAGCUGAAGAAGGCUGGCCGGGCGGAGAGAGGGCAGACAGGAUGGCAGGUCUCUCUGGCGAGGGGUACAUGGUCCCCAGGCACAGCUAUGUGUGCUGAUGUCGGCAGCUGCGUGGGAUCCUCACAGCACAGACGGGGAACUGGGGCCAGCAAGGUUAACCGCAUGCCCAGAGCCACAGCCCGUGAGAACCACCUUUGAACACUUGCGUCUGAUUCAGCCUGAGCUUUGCAAUGCUGAGCAGCUUCCUGCCCGAGGAGGGGCUGAGCCAGGACCCUGCCAGCUGCUGCUGGGCUCUUCCCACAGCCUCUCUCGGCCCUGGGCAGCACACCCCUUUUCUGUCAUUUGCCACCAAAGCCCAGAGUGGCACACAAGGCCGAGAUAGAGGGGAGCUGGACAGCCUGUCCCGCUAGCACCCCGGCCCCACCCCUCUGGGACGUCAGACUCCAUGGAAGCGACCCCACUACCCGGCAACAGGAGGGCAGUUUCCUGGGGACUGAGCCCCACACCGCCCAGCCCCUUGACGCAAGCUUCCUGUGGAGGAGCCAGAGCCGCCACGGCCACAGGGUCUGGACCGAGGUUGCCGCCCGCCACCCGGCUUCACCUGCACACAUCCAGUGUCUCCACUGCACGCCUCCCUGCAGCCUGCCCAGGCCUGGCAGCGCCCACGGCUCCAGCUUCAGCUCUACUGGGAGUCAGCUGGAAGCGGGGUUCUACUGGAGAGAAAGUGAUCUGCAACACACGGAGUCAAGCUUCUGAAAAGUCCACCUGCAGAGGCGAUUCGGGCCUGUUGUCUCCCUGGCCCCCUCACAGAGCCUGG